UCUGUCAACGGUACCGGACUAGACCGAAGGUUUAGGAGGAUCAGGAGUUGACAGGUUCACUACA
rnacentral:sRNA from 1 species